GUAUCUUGAACGCACGAACUAUGGAUUAUUUUGAACCAAACCAACAUUUGUUAUUGAAGUAGAAGUCCUGGGAGUGCAUUCUGACGAAGACAGCAAAGCUAGUGACUGACACCAUGGAGCCUGAGGAGAAUGAAGAGAGUCCCCAGCUGACAGCCCAGACCAACAAGGAGACCCUGGUUCCUAUCAUAAAGAAGCAUGUGAAACGUCAGAGUAUGGUAGUCAGUGAUGAGGGAAGAGUUUAUGCAAGUCUCUCACAGGAAGUCUACAGGCAUGUGAAGGUCAACCAUUAUCAGAAUUAUGUAGACCCGCUUACAGGUCUGCAUACUCAGAAUAUCGAGAGGGCGUGGGAGACUUACAAGAAGGAAGUGUGGCGUCUGCGUGUAAACCGUUCAGAGAAGUUCAUAAAGAGGCAGCUCUGCUUCAUAGAGUGGAGAUACUGGUUGGGCAGGAGACAAACAUGGAGUCCUUGGUAGACUUUUU
rnacentral:lncRNA from 1 species